GGGUUGUGAGGUUAAGCGACUAAGCGUACACGGUGGAUGCCCUGGCAGUCAGAGGCGAUGAAGGACGUGCUAAUCUGCGAUAAGCGUCGGUGAGGUGAUAUGAACCGUUAUAACCGGCGAUUUCCGAAUGGGGAAACCCAGUGUGUUUCGACACACUAUCAUUAACUGAAUCCAUAGGUUAAUGAGGCGAACCGGGGGAACUGAAACAUCUAAGUACCCCGAGGAAAAGAAAUCAACCGAGAUUCCCCCAGUAGCGGCGAGCGAACGGGGAGGAGCCCAGAGCCUGAAUCAGUGUGUGUGUUAGUGGAAGCGUCUGGAAAGGCGUGCGAUACAGGGUGACAGCCCCGUACACAAAAAUGCACAUAUUGUGAGCUCGAUGAGUAGGGCGGGACACGUGGUAUCCUGUCUGAAUAUGGGGGGACCAUCCUCCAAGGCUAAAUACUCCUGACUGACCGAUAGUGAACCAGUACCGUGAGGGAAAGGCGAAAAGAACCCCGGCGAGGGGAGUGAAAAAGAACCUGAAACCGUGUACGUACAAGCAGUGGGAGCCUCUUAAUGGGGUGACUGCGUACCUUUUGUAUAAUGGGUCAGCGACUUAUAUUCUGUAGCAAGGUUAACCGAAUAGGGGAGCCGAAGGGAAACCGAGUCUUAACUGGGCGUUAAGUUGCAGGGUAUAGACCCGAAACCCGGUGAUCUAGCCAUGGGCAGGUUGAAGGUUGGGUAACACUAACUGGAGGACCGAACCGACUAAUGUUGAAAAAUUAGCGGAUGACUUGUGGCUGGGGGUGAAAGGCCAAUCAAACCGGGAGAUAGCUGGUUCUCCCCGAAAGCUAUUUAGGUAGCGCCUCGUGAAUUCAUCUCCGGGGGUAGAGCACUGUUUCGGCAAGGGGGUCAUCCCGACUUACCAACCCGAUGCAAACUGCGAAUACCGGAGAAUGUUAUCACGGGAGACACACGGCGGGUGCUAACGUCCGUCGUGAAGAGGGAAACAACCCAGACCGCCAGCUAAGGUCCCAAAGUCAUGGUUAAGUGGGAAACGAUGUGGGAAGGCCCAGACAGCCAGGAUGUUGGCUUAGAAGCAGCCAUCAUUUAAAGAAAGCGUAAUAGCUCACUGGUCGAGUCGGCCUGCGCGGAAGAUGUAACGGGGCUAAACCAUGCACCGAAGCUGCGGCAGCGACACUAUGUGUUGUUGGGUAGGGGAGCGUUCUGUAAGCCUGUGAAGGUGGCCUGUGAGGGUUGCUGGAGGUAUCAGAAGUGCGAAUGCUGACAUAAGUAACGAUAAAGCGGGUGAAAAGCCCGCUCGCCGGAAGACCAAGGGUUCCUGUCCAACGUUAAUCGGGGCAGGGUGAGUCGACCCCUAAGGCGAGGCCGAAAGGCGUAGUCGAUGGGAAACAGGUUAAUAUUCCUGUACUUGGUGUUACUGCGAAGGGGGGACGGAGAAGGCUAUGUUGGCCGGGCGACGGUUGUCCCGGUUUAAGCGUGUAGGCUGGUUUUCCAGGCAAAUCCGGAAAACCAAGGCUGAGGCGUGAUGACGAGGCACUACGGUGCUGAAGUGACAAAUGCCCUGCUUCCAGGAAAAGCCUCUAAGCAUCAGGUAACAUCAAAUCGUACCCCAAACCGACACAGGUGGUCAGGUAGAGAAUACCAAGGCGCUUGAGAGAACUCGGGUGAAGGAACUAGGCAAAAUGGUGCCGUAACUUCGGGAGAAGGCACGCUGAUAUGUAGGUGAAGCGACUUGCUCGUGGAGCUGAAAUCAGUCGAAGAUACCAGCUGGCUGCAACUGUUUAUUAAAAACACAGCACUGUGCAAACACGAAAGUGGACGUAUACGGUGUGACGCCUGCCCGGUGCCGGAAGGUUAAUUGAUGGGGUUAGCGGUAACGCGAAGCUCUUGAUCGAAGCCCCGGUAAACGGCGGCCGUAACUAUAACGGUCCUAAGGUAGCGAAAUUCCUUGUCGGGUAAGUUCCGACCUGCACGAAUGGCGUAAUGAUGGCCAGGCUGUCUCCACCCGAGACUCAGUGAAAUUGAACUCGCUGUGAAGAUGCAGUGUACCCGCGGCAAGACGGAAAGACCCCGUGAACCUUUACUAUAGCUUGACACUGAACAUUGAGCCUUGAUGUGUAGGAUAGGUGGGAGGCUUUGAAGUGUGGACGCCAGUCUGCAUGGAGCCGACCUUGAAAUACCACCCUUUAAUGUUUGAUGUUCUAACGUUGGCCCGUAAUCCGGGUUGCGGACAGUGUCUGGUGGGUAGUUUGACUGGGGCGGUCUCCUCCUAAAGAGUAACGGAGGAGCACGAAGGUUGGCUAAUCCUGGUCGGACAUCAGGAGGUUAGUGCAAUGGCAUAAGCCAGCUUGACUGCGAGCGUGACGGCGCGAGCAGGUGCGAAAGCAGGUCAUAGUGAUCCGGUGGUUCUGAAUGGAAGGGCCAUCGCUCAACGGAUAAAAGGUACUCCGGGGAUAACAGGCUGAUACCGCCCAAGAGUUCAUAUCGACGGCGGUGUUUGGCACCUCGAUGUCGGCUCAUCACAUCCUGGGGCUGAAGUAGGUCCCAAGGGUAUGGCUGUUCGCCAUUUAAAGUGGUACGCGAGCUGGGUUUAGAACGUCGUGAGACAGUUCGGUCCCUAUCUGCCGUGGGCGCUGGAGAACUGAGGGGGGCUGCUCCUAGUACGAGAGGACCGGAGUGGACGCAUCACUGGUGUUCGGGUUGUCAUGCCAAUGGCACUGCCCGGUAGCUAAAUGCGGAAGAGAUAAGUGCUGAAAGCAUCUAAGCACGAAACUUGCCCCGAGAUGAGUUCUCCCUGACUCCUUGAG
rnacentral:rRNA from 1 species